CGCCUGGGGAGUACGGUCGCAAGAUUAAAACUCAAAGGAAUUGACGGGGACCCGCACAAGCGGUGGAUGAUGUGGAUUAAUUCGAUGCAACGCGAAAAACCUUACCUACCCUUGACAUGUCUGGAAUCCUGAAGAGAUUUAGGAGUGCUCGCAAGAGAACCGGAACACAGGUGCUGCAUGGCUGUCGUCAGCUCGUGUCGUGAGAUGUUGGGUUAAGUCCCGCAACGAGCGCAACCCUUGUCAUUAGUUGCUACGAAAGGGCACUCUAA
rnacentral:rRNA from 1 species